CUGGUCUUCCCCUCUUGGAAUUUUCCUGCGCAAAGAAGAGAAUGUGCUCUGUAGCGCCUACCAGAGGAGAGGAGUUGGAACAGGUUGAGACCAGGGUGUGAUGGGUCUGCAGUGAUGUUGCCUGCCCGUUUCCUGAGUCUGGAGGUGUAUAAGUCCUGAUUGGAGGGCAGAUGCUCGAGCUUGUUUCCUGCAGAACAACACCAGCGGAUGUCGAGGGAUCUUGCAAUUUUCCAAGCUUGCAUGUACCAAUGAUCCCGAGAGCGAUACCAUCUGGAGCUUGGCUCCUGGUAGGUUCACCCAAAGCGGAUAGGUCAAGGGGGAGGUUCCAGACGACGAAGUGUGAUCCAACAAAGACCUUAACAGCGGAACUGGUGGAAGAUGUCUUCAGGUCACAACAGCAGUGAAGGUGGAUGAAGGCUGCA